rnacentral:tRNA from 1 species
GUGGGAUUAGCUCAGUUGGUUAGAGCACCAGAUUGUGGUCCUGGGGGUCAUGGGUUCAAUUCCCAUAUUCCACCCCA